rnacentral:tRNA from 1 species
GGGCGGUUGGCCGAGCGGUUGAAGGCACUUGUCUUGAAAACAAGCAGGCUGAAAAGUCUCGUAGGUUCGAAUCCUGCACCGUCCGCCA